rnacentral:rRNA from 1 species
ACCAGACUCCUACGGGAGGCAGCAGUGGGGAAUAUUGCACAAUGGGGGGAACCCUGAUGCAGCGACGCCGCGUGGGCGAGGAAGUAUUUCGGUAUGUAAAGCCCUAUCGGCAGGGAAGAAGAAAUGACGGUACCUGAGUAAGAAGCCCCGGCUAACCACGUGCCAGCAGCCGCGGUAAUACGUAGGGGGCAAGCGUUAUCCGGAUUUACUGGGUGUAAAGGGGGCGCAGGCGGCAGCGCAAGCCAGGAGUGAAAGGCCGGGGCCCAACCCCGGGACUGCUCUUGGAACUGCGCGGCUGGAGUGCAGGAGGGGCAGGCGGAAUUCCUGGUGUAGCGGUGAAAUGCGUAGAUAUCAGGAGGAACACCGGUGGCGAAGGCGGCCUGCUGGACUGCGACUGACGUUGAGGCCCGAAAGCGUGGGGAGCAAACAGGAUUAGAUACCCGUGUA